ensembl:misc_RNA
UGGUGCUGUGCUCUGAUCUACUAACCCGGCCUUACUAACUGGUUUCUCUAACUAAUCCAGCCCUGCCGAGCUCUGGGG